rnacentral:rRNA from 1 species
UACGUAGGUGGCAAGCGUUGUCCGGAUUUACUGGGCGUAAAGGGCGUGCAGGCGGUUUGUUAAGUGCAGAGUGAAAGCUCCCGGCUCAACUGGGAGAGGUCUUUGCAUACUGGCAAACUCGAGGGAGGCAGAGGAAAGUGGAAUUCCCGGUGUAGUGGUGAUAUGCGUAGAUAUCGGGAGGAACACCAGUGGCGAAGGCGGCUUUCUGGCCCGUUCUUGACGCUGAGGCGCGAAAGCUAGGGUAGCAAACGGG